GCCCCAAAAGCUAAGCGGUCAGCUAUUAAUCUUGUAAAUUAAGGGAUGAAGGUUCGAAUCCUUUUUGAGGCU
rnacentral:tRNA from 1 species